rnacentral:tRNA from 1 species
UCCCUGAUGGCUCAGUUGGUAAAGAAUCUGCCUGCAAUGCAGGAGAUCCCGGUUCAAUCCCUGGAUUGGGAA